rnacentral:lncRNA from 1 species
CACACAGUCUCCGCUCUUCCUGUGAGGCCAUUGUCUCCUCUUCUUGAACACCUUGUUUUGACCACAUUGGCAGUUUUCUCUUAGUAUUUUGGAAUAUUUUAAAUUAUUGUGGGGCAUAUGAAAUUUGUGUUCUUAAAAAAUCAACAGUUCUCUUUGCUCAGAAAUAGUUUUAUUAAUUUUUUGUGGUUUUCUUUUUGCUGCUACAUGCAGUUGACAAACAUUUGAAAUGAACUGUGGGUUAUAGUGAAUCUAAGAAUAAUGUUGUUAUUCUCAGGCUUUAUUUUUUUUUGUUUUGUUUUGUUUUGUUUUUUUCAGUCGGCGGGAUCGAACUCAGGUCCUUGUGCUUAUAGAGGCCGAGCGCCGAACCACUGAGCUAAAUCCCCAGACCACUCAGGCUAGCUUUAAAUUAACAGGAAAAAAUGAGCCUGGGCUCUGGACCUGAGUCCAUGGACUGCUGGGCACAGUGCUGUGAAGCCAUGGUUUGGAUCAGACCUGGGAUCCUCUCUGUUCUGUAAUAAUCCGUCCUCUCAGCUCCACUCAGCUGCUAGUGCAGAGACAGGGAAGUAAGGACGUUGUGUACAGAACAGAGAGAAGAGAGCCAUCCCACAGAAGACUCGGCCCACCAGGGAGGAUGCUCCACACUCUACCAUGUGGGGGCCACAUCAGCGAAUGCUCAGUGAUCACCUUCCUAAACCCAGUCACAAGACAAAGCCUCGCCUGGAGAAGGAACUGGAGGGCAGAGCUGAGGGUCAUCCAUCCCAACGUGACAAGGAAUGGGAAUGAGGAGAGGGUUCACAGGAAUGCCAGGAUACUCAUCCUGCAAAUGGGGAUGAGAAUGAGUCCCUGACUCCCUCAGGUAGCAUACAGAAGACCUCAGGAAUCACAGCCUAGUCUCUGCUGAUGGUUUUAUUUCUUCUCAGGUGCUGAGGUCCACUCAUGUGAAGACCUAGUGAAACUCUGUGAUGCCUCCCUCCUCUUCCUGAAGUCACUCCAUUCAAAUAAAUCCCAGCAUUACCGAGAUCCAACCUUCACCUCAGUUUCCGUUACCACCUCAAUUCCAAAUCCACACCCAGUUUACUUAUCUUACCCUGUCCUGCUGCUUUCAAUAUUUUCUCCGUGAGACCAAUCCUAUUUUUAACAAUGCCUUAUCUGUGUAAUUGACAUAGGGGGAAGAGAUGUAACUCCCAGACCUACUAGAUAUCUGAAAGCGUGAGUUAGUGUUCUCUAAUAUCAAAGAAUGAAUUCCAAGAACAAUGGAGGUUAAGAGUAGGAAAAAUUUAUUGAGAGAAAGAAAGCUUCUGUCUAAGAGAGACAGAAGGGGACGAGAAAGUGGGUUGCCCGCCCACCCCAAUUUUCAAAGAUGUUUUAUUCAGCAAAGCCAAGUGAUGAGGCGGGUACACAGUGGAACAAAACUAUAAGACCCAAUGGAAACUUACAAGGAGGGCAUUAGAUGGGACAAAACCAUGACCAACCAAUAAGAUUACAAGUACAGUCACCCAGGUAAUAUUGAUUAAAUGGGGAUCAAAUGGGAAGACAAGUCACAUACAAGGAGUUUCCCAUUUAGAAUAUCAAUCACUGCCAUCUAUCUCUAGGGGAAGUAGUGCCUCUUCUUUGUAUAACGCUAACCAGUGAACCCUAACCCUAACCCUAAGGGGAGCUCCGCGACCCCCAGACAGUCUGCUCCCCGGCCGGGGCCCUCCUCCUCGGCUCCCUCUCCUACAGCGGCUAACCUCGGCUCGCCAGCCUUCGCCCGCGGCGCCCUCUUGUGGCAAUCCCCGGAAACGCCUCUGAACACUGUCAGAGGCACCGAGGCACAGGGCCCCGGGAUACUCGCUGAGAACCUGGGACCCCGGACCCGGACCCGGACCCGGAGCCGGGAUUCCAGGCUGUGGCAGCACAUCCUCCCUCUUUGGGUUCCCCAAGGUGCUGAUCAUCAGCUGAACAUAUUUAUUUUCGCACUUGCUGGUUUAUCGCACACUGUGUGUUUCACCUAAGGUGCGCGUGGUAAUUGAUAGGAAUGACCUCGUCCUCAGCCCACAAGAGCUGGGCUGCAGACCGAGGCCGAGUUACUGAACAGCCAAUGGCAAGCCUGAGGCGUGACGCUCGAGAGGCCAGGGGCGCCUGCGCCGGGAGAGGGGCAGGACUGCGGUCGUGGGCAGCGUCUCCCUCGCGGGUCGGAGUGCGGUUUCCCCUGCACAAAGGCCCGCAGAAGCGAGACGGAGGAUCUCAGACCCCGUGUGACCCCGAAUCCAUAGAGCCCCAGUCUUGGGUCCGGAAAUGCAUCUCUCUUCCUGAGCAUGGGGGUACAGAGCCAGGACCAGAGCCCUCUUCGGCUUCUCAGCUCAUCCUCACAGCAGAGCCCGUCCCAAGCUUGGGGGUCACCUCAAGGUCGGGAGCUCAUCCUGAGGGGAGCCGGAACCGGAGCCCCAGCGCGCCUGGGUCACGUGUUCGGGAGGGGACAGUGAGGGACAGGCCUGCUGGUUCCCGGGACAGGUGAGCCCACCCCGGGCGGAUGCGUGGAAGAGAACAAGGGCUUUUCCCUCUUUGGGGGGGGGGGGGUACCAGGGAUCGAACUUGGGUCCUUGUACUUGCAAGGCAGGCACCAGAACCACUGAGCUAAAUCCCUGGCUUCCCUCUAAUUUUUAUUGAGGUGAAAUUUAAAUAACAAAGUUAACCUUCUAUUAAAUUAAUGUUGUCCUGGUGAAAGCCCAGCCUGCCCGGGAACAGAGGAGGUAACCGACCAUGGCUGGAGCGGGCAGCGGGGAGAGGAAAGAGGGGGCCUGACACGGGAGGCUCUGCACAAAGGAGAGAAGGGAAGCUCCCUGGCGGAGGACGGUGGAAACUGGAGAGAAGCGCAGGAGAGGCCUCGGGUGGGGUCGCAGCAGGGAAUCCGCGGUGUGCAAGGCCCGGGCCUCCCACAGGGACAGAGGCGUUGGCCAGGUGCCCACGGCCCCUCCCCAGCCCUCGCCGUGCCUGCACCCCACACGCGCACACACAUGCACACACACACACACACAUGCCUCAAGUCCCCGCCGGGCCCUAGUGAUGGUGCCCCUGCCUCCUGAGCACCUGGCGGGGCCCCCGUGCUGGCAGCCAGGGGACCUCAGGGCGUGCGCGGGGCGGGCAGCAGGCCUGUGCAUGGCUCGGACCCGGAGCCGGCAGCCGUUUCUUCCGGCUGUGCCAGGCCUCGGCCAGGAACCCGCCAGGAGGACCAGAACCAGGGCGCCCAGGCCACCGGCACCAGGUUGCCCUUGGCGUAGUGCAGGUGGCGAAACCUGGGGGAGAAGGCGCCGUGGCGGGAGGCCAAACCAGGACACGCCAGGCCACAGAAUCCCUGACCCAGACCCUACUGUCCCCUCCAGCUGGGGUGCAGCUCCCUCCCCCAGAGAGGCUCCACGGGCCCCCACUCACCCCCGCCCACCCCCAGGGCCCCCGCUGGGCUGACUGAUUGAAGAGGAGGACACAGUGGGAAGGGCCAGGGAGCGGGGAGGGGGAUCUUCUUCUCUGACCCUCAGGAAAACCCUAACCUCCCCACCUGAUCUUGUUGCCCAGUCUGGAGCUGGCGCUGGAUCACCCUGUCCCAGUUAAUGCUGCACACACGGACCAGGGAGCCCUGGGCUCCUCUACAGAGAAAGGGUGCGUUUCCGAGGGUGCACUUCGGGGAGGAGGCGGCGAGCAGGGAGAGGCCUG